CGGAGCUUGAGAGAGCUUGCUUUUUCAAGCUUAGUGGCGAACGGGUGAGUAACGCGUGAGGAACCUGCCUCAGAGUGGGGGACAACAGUUGGAAACGACUGCUAAUACCGCAUAAGCCCACGGGUCCGCAUGGAUCUGAGGGAAAAGGAGCAAUCCGCUUUGAGAUGGCCUCGCGUCCGAUUAGCUGGUUGGUGAGGUAACGGCCCACCAAGGCGACGAUCGGUAGCCGGACUGAGAGGUUGAACGGCCACAUUGGGACUGAGACACGGCCCAGACUCCUACGGGAGGCAGCAGUGGGGAAUAUUGCACAAUGGAGGAAACUCUGAUGCAGCGACGCCGCGUGGAGGAAGAAGGUUUUCGGAUUGUAAACUCCUGUUGUUGGGGAAAAUAAGGAUGGUACCCAACAAGGAAGUGACGGCUAACUACGUGCCAGCAGCCGCGGUAAAACGUAGGUCACAAGCGUUGUCCGG
rnacentral:rRNA from 1 species